rnacentral:rRNA from 1 species
UACGUAGGGUGCGAGCGUUAAUCGGAAUUACUGGGCGUAAAGUGUGCGCAGGCGGCGUUGCAAGUCGAGUGUGAAAUCCCCGAGCUUAACUUGGGAAUUGCGCUCGAAACUACGAUGCUCGAGUGUGGCAGAGGAAGGUGGAAUUCCACGUGUAGCGGUGAAAUGCGUAGAGAUCGGAAAGAACACCAACGGCGAAAGCACUCUGCUGGGCCGACACUGACACUGAGAGACGAAAGCUAGGGGAGCAAAUGGG